GGCUUAAAAAUAUGCUGGGGAAAAAUUAUAUGUGUAUUGUGGUUGAGGGGGAAAAAAACAGAAGGUUCUUUUCCAGUAGCACUUGAAUGAGAAUGGGAGCUAAUUCAGUGUCCUUGGACUCUUGUAUUGAUUUAUCGCUCAUUAGAGACAUUCUUCUACUGUGUGCAACAAUAGUACACAUGAUAAAUGAGAUAUGGUGGAAUUUAUAUGGUGUCAUGCUGAAGUCUGUGAGAGCUUUGUCUGGUCAGUAGGAAUGAGGGAAAAAAAGUUCACAAGUCCAGAGAUCAUCACACCAACCCCGUGUCACCAACAUCCCAUCAGCCACCCUUCUUCAUAGCUUACUCAUAGCCAAAUGAAGAGAAUGGGUGAGGGGAAAUCAGUCAGCAUGGGGCUUUUUAAUACCACCUGAACAUGGAGCAUGAAAUCUGCCUCGACACUGAUACGUUUGUUUUCCUUCAGUCGACAUUUGAGAUCCCGGUGUAUUAUUAUCUAGGGAGAAAACUAUUAAAAUCAUCUUUAUUGAAGGCAGACUAAAAAGGUCUGUAUGAAGGAUAUUGAAGCUUAUUUGUAUUCGUGUGGUAUUUGGGGUUGAAAGUAAAGUUAAUUAGAGUGAACUUGGUCAAUGCGGAGUAUCUGUUUUCUUUCUCUUUUUUUCCACAUUAAGAAGAUUAUUGUAUUAACCUGUGUGUUGCCUUUAGCAAUUGGCUACGUUUGAAUUUAUAACUAAAGCAUAUGGUCUGUGGAAGAAAAUAAAGGUAUGAGGUAUAGGGCAGCCUCAUGGUCAUGGUGUGAUUUCAACCUACUCCUGCAGUGCGUCCUAUAGAUCCAUACAUUCCCACUGAGUUCUUUGUGGGUGGACUACCGCGUCAGACACUUUUCAUCUGCCCUGUUUCUAGGUUGAUGAUAUUUUUCCCAUCCCUGCCAAAGGGAUUAUUCCCAUAGUUCUGCCUGCUCAAGAGGCGCCUUGCAACUCCGCUGGAGCUCCUCAAGGGAGAAUUAGGACAGGACCAGCCAGGCCAAGGCUCCCUGCAGGGCUGGAUCAACUAGGAGCUUCAGAGUCCAAGCCAGCCAUGAAAAGAAAUUCUGUCUUGGGCAGGUAUUGGUAACUGAGAGCAAAUGGGUAAACAAUUCAAGUGUUAGCACAUGGAUUAGCCCUGAAUGCUAUGUAUUGAAAUGUUGUCUUAACGAGAAGAUGAACUGUAAACUCAAAAUAAAAAGGGUAUUAAAGUUGCAUUAUGUUUGUGUUUAUUCAAACAUUUAUUAAAUUCAAACUGAUGUGUCCAGUGCUUAGCAUCAAUGCACUUACUAAUAAUUUCCUAUGCUGCUAGUAAUCUCUUUGUCUUACACAUAAAGCCACUUUGCAUUCAAAAUCAUGCACAUAACAUCUAAGACAGCGUUUGUAUUUACACUGUAUCUUCCUUAGGGGAAGUCUUGAAGCUCUGAUCCCUGCUUUGUAAAAGAGGAUGCUAAUACGCCACAGUUUUCCUUAAUGAUUGCUGAAGCUAAAAUAUUUAUGCAGAGAGGGCAAAGAGGUAUUCUUUUAUUAAACCAUCACAGGCAAAGACGUUCUAUUUAUUUCAUUUAUUUAUUUCUUCCUUGUUUUCUCUCCUUUAGAAAUAAAAGGGAAAGGACUCAAAGG